rnacentral:misc_RNA from 1 species
UGGUCGUCCCCGGCUCCGGCCAGCGAGAUCCAGUAUCCAAUCACCAAGACGAACCAGCGGGUCUUCGACAUCUACAUCAAUAACCAGACUGCCACUGCCGAUGCCGAUGUCAUACAGUGGAGCGGAGGAAUUGGCAAGCCUGUCUAUGAGGACUAUGUGGUGGUCGUCCCCGGCUCCGGCCAGAGCGACCUAUGGAUCGCUCUCCACCCCGAAAUGAAGACCAAGCCGGAGAAUGCCGAUGCCAUCCUCAAUGGGCUUGAGGUCUUCAAACUGCAGAACAGCAAUGUCAGUCUCGCUGGGCUCAACCCCCCGCUGCUCCCCCAGACGGACUCUGAACCUGACAAGGUCUUGAAUAAGAGCAAAUCAAAGAGCAAAACGCCGGCAAUUGUCGGUGGAGUGAUCGGCGCUGCCCUCCUCAGCUGCUUGCUGCUGUUUGUUUGCUGCCGAGGGAAGAAGAAGCGAGGUAAGGACGCCGGCGGUGGCGCCAGCGACGGGCAAUCUGGCUGGCUGCCACUCUCCCUCUACGGCAAUUCCCACUCUGCCGCCUCCGGGAAGUCGAACACCACCGGGAGCAUCGCCUCAUCGCUCCCAUCCAACCUCUGCCGCCAUUUCUCCUUCGCCGAGAUUGAGGCCGCCACCAACAAAUUCGACGAGACCCGCCUCCUUGGUGUUGGCGGGUUCGGCAAGGUCUACCGCGGUGACAUUGACGGUGGCUCUCUCAAGGUCGCCAUCAAGCGAGGCAACCCACUCUCUGAGCAGGGAGUUAAUGAGUUUCAGACUGAGAUUGAGAUGCUCUCGAAGCUCCGACAUCGGCACCUUGUCUCCCUCAUCGGCUACUGUGAGGAGAAGAACGAGAUGAUCCUCGUGUAUGACUACAUGGCUUACGGCACCCUGAGGGAGCACCUCUACAAGACACAGAACCCACCGAUGUCAUGGAAGCAGCGCCUGGAGAUCUGCAUUGGUGCUGCCAGGGGUCUUCACUACCUCCACACUGGUGCCAAGUACACCAUCAUCCAUCGCGAUGUGAAGACCACCAACAUCCUCCUCGAUGAGAAAUGGGUUGCCAAGGUGUCUGAUUUUGGUCUGUCGAAGACCGGCCCGGAGCUGGACCACACUCAUGUGAGCACUGUGGUGAAGGGUAGUUUUGGGUAUCUUGACCCAGAGUACUUCCGGCGCCAGCAGCUGACGGAGAAGUCCGACGUCUACUCUUUUGGUGUGGUGCUCUUCGAAGUGUUAUGUGCACGGCCAGCUUUGAAUCCGACAUUGCCGAAAGAGCAAGUGAGCUUGGCAGAGUGGGCGCUGCAUUGCCAGAAAAAAGGCGUGCUUGAUUCUAUCAUGGAUCCUUACCUCAAGGGCAAGAUUGCUCCACAAUGCUUUAAGAAAUUUGCUGAGACAGCGGAGAAGUGUGUGGCUGAUAACGGGAUCGAGCGGCCGGCAAUGGGGGAUGUGCUGUGGAAUUUGGAGUUUGCUUUGCAGCUGCAGGAGAGCGCGGAGGAGAAGGGGAUGAUGAUUGGAGGUGAGAUUUCAGAUGGGGAUGGAGAGAUGCCGCCCAUGAAGUUGGGUGGUAAGAAGGAGCCACAUGAUCCGAUGAUGGAUUCGAAGAGUUCAGGGACGACCACGACGAGUUCCACGGUGAGCAUUGGUGGGCAGAGCCUGGCUAGCGAGGAUUCGGACGGGCUGACGCCGAGUGCGGUGU